CCCGCUGCCCCCCGCCCCCCGGCAGUCCCCUCCCAGCCCCGUCCCAGCCUUUGCGCUAGCAGGCAGUCCCCUCCCUCCCUCGGCCGCGUUCAUUUCAUACCAACUCUCAUUCCUAGCAUUCCUCACUUCCUCCUUUCAAACUCCAGGGGAAAUAAAAUCCCUCCCUUUUCCUCCCAAACUCCUGCCCGGCCGGCCCCCCGCCCCGCUCGCCACUCCGCCGGCCGCUCCGCGCUCCUCAGAAAGUCCUGGAGCUGAAGGAGGAUUUGAAGCCGGUCCCCGCUGCCCCUACGGAACUGCAGCCGCUCUUGCCUCGCUCAGAGGAACUAAGAUACUAUUGUAGUAUCCCAUAGAAUUUCCCAGCCUUCUUCCUCUGGUUCUGAGUCUGCUUCUCCACGUGGCACCUUGGAGUUUCUAGCUGGCACCAUUACCUCCAACGAGUGGAGUUCUCCCACCUCCCCUGAGGGGAGCAACGACUCGGGGGGCAGCGAGGCCUUGGACAAACCCAUUGACAAUGACGCUGAGGGGGUGUGGAGUCCGGACAUCGAGCAGAGCUUCCAGGAAGCGCUAGCCAUCUACCCACCAUGUGGUCGGCGGAAGAUUAUCUUGUCAGACGAAGGCAAGAU